rnacentral:lncRNA from 1 species
CUUAAAUAAGAAUCUUCGCUCAACUGGCCAAACAGAAAAAAAAACAUGGGCUUUAGAAUUAUGUAUCACCUUGCCAACAUUACAGUGAAGCUCACAUGAGAUCCUGAAACUGCCCUCAGUGAAGAAACUAAAGCUCAUCAGAUUACCGUGUCCAGAAAGUGAGACACCAGCUCCCCCUAUCCAUCAUGACUGCUUCCUUACCACUCCCUAAUUCCUGUUUUUCCACCUUUCCUGCCAUAUAAACCCCACCAUUUUAGUUGGGUAGAAGAUGGAUUUGCUACUUUAUCUCCUGUUAUCUUUGGCUGCAGCACCAGAUUAAAGCCUUCUUCCCUGACAAUACUCCUUGUCUCAGUGAUUGGCAUUCAUGCCACAAGCAGCAGGACCUAUACUGAACCCCUGGAGUUUUGGUGACAUUAUGAUUACCAGGAUAAGAGACAGCAGCUACUAAUGAAACAUAAAUCAGUGUGGCCGAGGAUGUCAUGCAAAGAAAUGGUCCUUUGCUCAAUCCAGGUGAAAGCAUUUGUCUUUACAGGCUUUUCUGGAGUUUUGUUUCUAUAGAAGCACUUUGGAUCAUAAUUUAUGAGGAUCUCACUCUGUCACCCUGGAGUGCAGCAGUGUGAUUAUGGCUCAUUGCAGCCUUCACCUCCCGGGCUCAGGUGAUCUUCCCACCUCAACCUCCCAAGUAGCUGAGAUUGAAGGUGCAUGUCACCAUGCCCAGCUAAUUUUUUUUUUCUUUUUGUCUUUUUGUAGAGACGGGGACUUGCCAUGUUGCCCAGGCUGCUCUCGAGCUCCUGGACUUAAGUGAGCCAUCCACACUGGCCUCCCAAAGUGAUGGGAUUACAGGUGUGAGUCACCACACCCAGCCAGGGAAUGAUUUGUUUUAAAUUCAUUGUAAUAAUCCCAUGGAGGUUUUAGAGACCAUUUCAAUAAUUUGUGAUAACUUUAAAUUUUUUUUUCUCAAACACCUAUUUUAGUUUACUCACAAUAUACACCAAGCCAUUUACACGAAGGAAAUCUCAAUAUUAAUAUCCUAUAAUGAAGGUCAACAACAUGCAAGAAUUUAGAUUCUCGGUAUGCUCAAGAAACUUGAAAAUUAACUCAGCAAUUGGACAAAAAAAAAAAAAGAUUCUCAUUUAUUCUGGCGAAAUAGAAUGAGAAGGCAAAUAUAUUAAGAAAGACAAUGGUGAAGUCAAUAGGAUGCCAGAAAAUGAAUGUGUUCCUGUGAGUAUCGUUCAUACACAUGCAACAUAACAGUGUGCCAGCAUUGUUCUAAGCACAUUGCAAAUAUUGAGUUACCUCAUCCUUAUAACAAUCUUAGGAGUACAUAUCAUUAAAAUUUUUAUAUUUUCUGAAUGAGAAAACUUUGUUUAGAGAAAUUAAGUAGCUUUCUCAAUGUCAGGAUUCAAAAUAAUAAAACACGUUUUUGAUUGAAUCAACAAAAGGCCAUAGGAACCACUUUAAACAAAGAAGUAUUUAUUAAGGAGUUUGGUAACUUGUAGAUACCACAGUGUUCUGCAUGUACUAUGUUGUUCCACAGGACAAUAUCUACACUUGGUGUCACUUAAGUUACCUACUUGCCCCUCUCCAAGUCCCAUGCUGUAAGUUUAUCUGUCAGAUGAGAAGUUUUCUAUUAAAUAAUUUGUAAGAAUUCUGAAAAGAUUUACCACUCUGAGCUAUAAUCUCAAUAUAUUUCCCUUAUUUAACUCAAGUUUCUUUAAUGUAUGGAUUGUAAAAUUGAGUGAUUAUUUCAAGUCUUGUGUAUAAUGAUAUGCCUCCAGGCCAACUUCACUGAGGAGAUAGUGAAUAAAUUUGAUAUGUCUCCUCUCAUCUUCUUUACUAAAUGUUGACAUUUCAGUCUUUUCCUCUGUUGUUUAUUUGGUGUCACAGUUUCUCCGACAUGAGUUUUUAGUUAGAAGCCAGCUUGAAUAUGCCAUUAAAAUGUUCAUUAAAAAGGUUCUUCUCUCAUGUAUGUACAUUUUUGAAAUUUUAUCUAGAACAUUUGAAGACAGAAAAUUUAAA